ACCGGUUGCACUUGCUUCACAAAUGUGCGGUGUGCGUAUUGUGGGCUUAUGACACAGCUGGUCGCCGACGGACGUCGAUCAGCCACAACGCAACGAACCUACAACAGACGUUGAUUGUCCGGUGACUUCACUGGAUGAUGUCUUAUUUUUCAUAUUCAACUACACGAUGUCUGCAGAGAGGACAUCUGAUGAUAUAGCCUUCGCUAUUCUUUCCCGGGCAGGAUGAGAUCUAUUAGUAAAUAUUGCUUAGAAAGUAGAUCUACAUCACACCUUAUGGCACCAAGAUGGGAAGAAGAGCCAUACGUCGGUAACUGCCCGUUGGCGGUGACCUUGGAGGGUCAUCGCCGGUGACAGUACUGUUCACUUAGUGACGGUCCGUUCACCGGAAAACAAUUUCCGGGUACUGUUCCCGUUAAUUGAGGCGAGACGGGCAAGACGUGGAACACGGAGCUACCUCUCCGUCGAUCGUCGUCAGACCAUUGGGGCGUUCGCCAUUUACCGGUCUGUGCCCGUAGACGUUGACCACGGAGCAACAACGGUACGUCGGUCAAUGUCUCAUUCAGGUUUGUUGAGGUAUGUAUGAUUAUAACAUAUAUACCUAACGUUGACCACGGAGGUUCAAUACUAGUGACGUCACAGUUUCAGAGAUGUUCCUGUAACACGUUGAGGAAACGGUUCCCAUUAACAUAGACGGACAAGACGUGGAACACAGAACUAUCGCAUCGUCGAUCGUCUUCAGAUCAUGGUGCUUUCGCCUUCACCGGUCUGUGCCUGUAGACGUUGACCACGGAGCAACAACGGUACGUGGGUCAAUGUCUCAUUCAGGUUUGUUAUGGUAUGUAUGAUUGUAGCAUAGUAUACCUAACGUUGCCAACGGAGGUUCACACUAGUGACGUCACCAUUUCAUAUUUGUUUCAUGAAUGGUCCGUUACAGAACACCAGUUACCGGGGACUGAUCCUGUCAUGGAGAAGAAUAUCCGUCACGGGUUCUCGGUACCUAAGAAGAACCUUCUUACGUCGGUUUUUGCCCGAGGA